CUCUGGUCCUGUUCCAUCUCUGGUCCUGCCCAUCUCUGGUCCUGUUCCAUCUCUGGUCCUGCCCAUCUCUGGUCCUGUUCCAUCUCUGGAUCUGCUACUGCAGCUCACCCUGGCUGCAGGGACUCAGGAUCCAGCUCUCCCAGCCUGGCUGCAGUUUUUUUCCAGCCCUGUCAGCACUUGCAGCCAAGGCAUCCCUGGCAGCUCGGGCUGGAUUCUGUUUGGCCUCACGCAUCAUCACCAGCCUUGCCAGUUCAUUCAGGCCUGGGGUGAUGAUGUGUGAGGCAGAAAAAGCCCAGCCUGGCCUUCAGGUGCUGGGCACAGUCACCACAGGGGCAGGGAAACGACCUGGGAAUCCUUGAGGCUGGAGCAGGUCCUGGGCUCAGCAGGGUGAAGGUCCCUGUGUGGGGAUUUUGCUUUGGUUUUCUUCUCUUUAAGGGGUGCCUUGAUGGGCACAUGAGUAUUUUUAGGAGUGGCAUGGCAUCAGAUUAAUAAAUACAUCUCGAGCUGGACUGUUUUGUGUGGGAUCUUCUGUUCCCACCACCCCAUAUUAGGAGAUGCAGUUCCAAAAUAACUGCAAGUGCCCAUAGCCCUGCAAAUAACCCACUGGAAACUGCAGAGCAGGAAGCAGAGCCAGGCAGAAGAAUCCAGAAUGCUCAAAAGUCAUAUUCCAUACAUCUUCUGGCAGGAAUGGAAAAGCAAACCAUGGAAGGUCUUGGAAUAUGUGCAGAAGAGCAGAGAGCUGCCAGCAGGGCUGGCACCCCCAGCAGUCAAACAGCUCAGCCAGGCUGUGUAAGAGGAGCAGGGAAGGAUUUAAACUGGAGGCAGCAGUGAAAUCAGUCCAGGCAAAUUUGGAUGCUGGGAGACACUGCACAAGAAGGUCUUGGAGCUCCCAAGUGUUGAGGUGGCUCAAAUUAAGGAUGAAUAUAUGAAGGUAUUUCAGCAUUUAAUGCAAGGCUUGAAGAUUUGUUUUAUUCCCCAGACGUGGCUGAUUAACUUGUGCUUAAUUCAUUUCCAGUCCUGCUUCUCCAGCACUCCCAGGCUGUCACCCACAGCUCUGCUCUCCUGAGCUGCACUUUGGCCUCUCAGGCCUUAAUUUUGCUGCAGUUCAGGGUAAACAACCCAUGAAAAUGUUAUUCCAUUGUCGUGGAAGGAAUUGUGCCAAGGGAAUGAGCUUCCCUCCUGUGGGAAGGGCUGGGAGCAGAACCUUUCAGAUCUGUGGAGAUGCACCUGUGGAAAGAAGCUGCUGGAUCCUCACCGGCCUGUAAAAUUAAAUUCAGACAUUUCUGUUGAGCUCUUGAGGAAUUUCUGUUUGGUUUUGCUCGUUAUUGCAAAAAGUGGGUGAUCCUGGUUCAGUUUGUGGCUAAAAAAUCCCCAGAACCUCGGUUUGUGGGCAGGAAUUGAUAUUUAUUGAAAAUUCCCAGAGCUGGAAGGGCAGGGGAUGGGGAUUUAGCCCAGAAGGUGGUUCUGUGUGUCACUGAGACACGAUGACAGGGGUACCUCUGCCACAGCCCAGGCCCAUUCCUCUUCCCUGGGUAAACACAGGAUUCAAAUCCUCAGGAUUUAUGGACCCAGCACUUUCCCCACCACCUUCACUCCAGAGCUGACACACACAGA
rnacentral:lncRNA from 12 species